UACUUCAAUCACCCAACAACAUGCAAAUCAACAUGCCGGUCGCCUAUCGGUCGUGUAAGUUAGGUUUAUAGCGCGCACAACAAAUCGUUUAGUUGAGCUUUUGCAGCGGUUUGAAUUGCAUGGGUUGCUACAUAUAGCUGGUGAUAGAGCGUGCGUUCAGUAGUGGCAAGCAAGUAGUAACUUUCAAUUGUAACUGCUCGGUGAUCGUGCGGCAACGAUUGGAGAGCGCGAAUCGAGUCUUGUGGGUGGUUGGGAACAAUAGGCGGUCUGGCGUUUAAUUAAUGCACAUCCACCGAGAGGCCUACGCGACUUAAUAUGCAAUAACAUUUUAAAAGUGAUCUACAUAUAUACAAAUUUGUUUACCCAUAACAAAAAAUAAAUGCCCAAGUGCUACGCAUCAAAAACACAGAGGGGCAUUAAGAUGCCAAUAUCUAGUGAGUUUUUGAGAUUGGUCAUUGUCCUGUUGUUCCUAGUCGUCACUGCGCAAACGGAAAACCCAAGCCCUAAAUGGAUUUGCACUUCGACUGAUUUGUGUGUCAUCGAUGA